GUGCACUGAUCUUUCCUCUGUGUCCUUCCAGGUUCUUCUGAGGAAAACCUGAAUUUAGUAUGCCCACCACCAAGUGAGGCUGAUGAUUGGGAUGAUGAUUUGGAUGGUAAUGAUGAUGAGGAUGAUUUUUAUUUCAUUGAGAUUUUACCAUUGUCUGACCGGGGUACGUACCUUGAACUAACUCACUUUCUGAGAAACAAACUUGCUGGCUUUAACAUAUAGAAACCUUAAUCUGGGUUCCUGUUAAAAAUAUUGGGGGUGCGGCAAGAGCAAAUGAUUUUGUAAGCGUAUAGCUAUGAGCAGAGGGGCUGUAGAAAUGUGUGUGAACCCAGAGGACCAACCAGGAGAUUUUGUGUGAGCCAGUGUGUCUUCACCUGGAGUAGGAGAAGUGAGUGCAGCUCUCACUGACUUUUCCUGAUGUUGGUGGUUCUAAAGAGUGGAUUCUGGAGAAUCUCAGCAGGGAAGAGGAUACCUUUCCAGGUAGGUAAGAAGAUUUCAGGUGGGAUCUAAUAAAACAGCAUUUCCAGGAACCUUCAUGUUAUACCUGCUACUUGGCAGGGUUAGGGAGGGUGUAGAAA